AUGAAAAUUGUACCUUACAGAAAAAGAUUUGGUUGCAAGAAAAAUGACAAGGAUAACUGGGGUAUUGCAGGGGACACUAACGAGGUGGCGACCCUGAAGGAGGCGGUGGCCGCGGCCGAACGCAAUGCGGCAGCGGAGAGCACCGAGCGAGAGAAACAGGAGGCGCGGGUGGCGGAGGUACAACAAGAGCUCCGGGAUCUCGUGAAGAAACACGAGAGCCUGGAGCGUGACUCGAAGACUCGAGAGUCUGAGCUUGCAACGGCUCUUGAGAGUGCCAAAGCCGCUAAGGCCGAAGCCUACAAGGCCCUCCAGGAGAUAGAGGUGGUGAAGAAAAUAGCAGCGGGUAAGGCAUUUUUCAUGCAAAGUAAGCAUGUGAGUGUUAAUUACCUGUCGCUUACCCGAAUUCGGAGCUCUCAGGAGCGUUCGCAGAUCUUCCCCGUAGCGUGUCCGAUGCUGCCGCAUUCUACCAGGCCGAGGAGGGGAGCUCAACGGAGAAGGUCUUCUGGUCUCAGUAUACUGAGGCCGGACAUCCGGUGCCCCUUAGUGACCAGCUGA
rnacentral:rRNA from 1 species